UUCACGCGCCGCCGUCACCCACCUUGCCCUCCCCCACUUUCUUCUUCCUUUUUCUUUCUUCGUUACUUUCUCUUUCUUCUUUCCUUUUCUUCUGAGUUGCGCCGCCGCCGCCGCCGCCCGCUGGAGUAUCCGGUGCGGCUUUUUUUAAUUUCCCUCUCUUUCUUCAUUUCCCUCUGAUUGUGCUUCCGUUUACUAGGAAAUCGAGUAUGUUUUAACAUUUUCCUCAUCUGUUUUUGCUUCUUCUACCGGUGGUCUCCGGUCGCCGGCGCUUCCGUUUCAGACCUCUUUGCCCAAGUUUUUCCGGUAGCUAGGGUGCACAGAAAAUCGCACAAACAAACAAACAUGGCCAAGUUUAUUCUUUAACACCAGUUUUGCUUGUAGGUUUUGUAAGUCGUUAGUCGAAAAUUUUGGGUCAAAUACAGUUCGUGAAAGCUCACAUUCGAAGUUCCACCAUGUUCGCUCAAGUCAGCAAUUCUCCGUUCGCGCAUCGUUGAAAACCCUACAACUCCGAUCUCCAGUAAAGGAUCGUGCGUUUCCUUAUAUUCCACUUCCACAAGGAUAUACAGAGGUCCGAUUUCGAGAUCACUGCGCAAGCGAAUCAACAGAAGAGCUAGAUUGGCAGCAAAACCUGUUCUAGACAAAACAGUUUUCCAAAAAUGUGUAUCUCAGCUGCUGCCUAGGUUCACCCCGGAGGAUCUCCACAAUGUGAUAAUCGAACAGGACGAUCCAUUGGUGUGCUUGGAGCUCUUCAAUUGGGCGUCUCAGCAGCACAGAUUCAGGCACACCGUGUUCACCUAUCACGUCACGAUCCGAAAGCUCGGUGCGGCCAAAAUGUACAAGGAAAUGGACGAUAUCGUCAAUCAGGUUCUAGCUAUCCCUAACCUGGGCUCUGAGCCUCUUUUCAAUACCAUGAUAUAUUACUUCACUGAGGAUAGGAAGCUUGUUAGGGCUGUGAAUAUAUACAAGCAUAUGCGUGCUUCCCGGAAUUUAGAUUGCCGCCGUCGAUUCGUACCUAUAACAUAUUGUUUGCAGCAUUUCUGAGCCGCAGGACGAACACCUAUAUUAACCAAAUGUAUAUGGAGACACUUACGGCCCUUUCAUUAAUCUUGUUUGUUGGUAAAGUGACUGUGUGGGCUGCUAUUGCUUUUGUAUCGAUUUAUGUAGUAUAUGCCUUUGUCGUUGCUGCUAAUGAACUGUUGAGGACCCAUACCCAAAGGCUGAAAUUGGAUGCGUUUACUCCAUUGCUUCCAGUGUUUUCCAUGGGAAAUCAAGAGGAUGAGUCCAUGUUUAGCUCAUUGCUUGAGGUUGAAACCGAGAGUAAUGCGCAGUCACAUGCUUCGUUGCUGCAGUGGAUGUGCGCUACUAAUGUGGCAAUAUGACGGAGACAAGAAUCUGUGGGGAUGGAAUGAGGAAGAUCGGAAGCACAUCGGCCAUUGUUUUCAUUUUUGAAGCUAUAUUCUCUCAUGCACUUGCCGUUAACAGUUCCAAGGCGACUCACUAUUCCCUUCGUAGACGAAGAGAACUGGUCUAAGGUGUGGAUACGUCACGGCUAAGAAUGUUCUUGAAUUAGUUGAGGAACAUAUCCUAAAGGGUGAAAUCGUUGAGAAGCUUUGGAGGGGCCAAAUGGGUACUACUAUCGGCAAAUCAAGUGUGACCUUAUUUGAUAGCCACAACCCACCAAGUGGGUUUGAUACAGUUAAAGUUAAAUCAAAAAGAGAUGCCACCUGGAUUGUGGUUAUUAUAUUGAGCAUCACUUCAGCUGCUACUAUUGCUUAUGGCAUCUACCGAAGAAGAAGGGAGGCUCAGGCAAAGAAGAAGAAAAAAAGAGAGGAAAGAGGGAGGAGGGAACAGGAAGACCGAAAAGAAAAAAAAGGAGAACCUGUUGGCGCUGCCGCCUGCUGUCGAUGAUUUAAUACCGUUAGAAAAUUUGAAGUCAGAAGUACAUCAUAUGCCAUCAAUUCUAUUUUAUUCCUUUUAUGGAUGUAAUUUAGGUAUAUGUGGAAGCAUUGGGAAAUGGCUUCUCUAGUGCAGCACCAUUGCAAUUCGAUACAAAUGGAUUGUUGGAAAAGGCUUCAGCAUAUCGGUGGAUUCAAAUUUUAAGACCCAUAUAGAGUGUCUUCCUUCUCGCCGAACUCUAAUUUACUCGGUGUCACGGUCACUUCCACGCCGUCCGGUGCGUGCACUGUCACCUCGUACACGGCAUUCGCCUCCUUCCCGACAUUUCUUACGCUUCGGUUAUACUUCACAACGCUUUUAAAGCCGGAGAAGGCAACCGAGAACGACGGGUAGUUCAAAUCCCCCGGAGUUUUCAGCCCGACUGUGUUGCAAUCCAUGAUCGACGAAUCUUUCGUGAAUGCCGUAAUUUGCUGCGCAUUGUACCUGAUGCUGCACAAAAACGCGACGUAUUUUUGGGUAUCGAUGUCGUAGAUCAGGCCGGGAUUCGUUGCUCGGUUUGGAUCGACGUGGCCCGAGAACGGAUUGGACACGUCCCCGGUGGCGAGGUCCGUUAGAUUAUUCCCGUUGUUGUCGACGUUGUACGCCGUGGUCAUCAAUGCUGACUUGAUCGGCCGGCGACCACUCAGGGUGGGCCUGUUUCAGCAGCGCCGCCAAGCCGCUGACGUGAGGGCACAACAUCGACCUACCGGAGAUGAUGUUGAAUUCGACCUCGCGAUUAUCGCUGUUGAGAGACGUUGGCCAAACAUAGCCGGUCCAGCCAGCGAGAAUGUUGACUCCGGGCACGUUCACAUCCGGCUUGAGAAUCUCGGAGGUUCGGAGGUUUGAUAGCUCGGACCACGGCUGGAGAACGAGGCCAUGCGCGGCGAAGACGGAGAUUUGCUUACAACGGUUCCCCGUGACCUGAUAGUCGCGGUGGGAUUCAGAGUUGCGCGGACAUAAGCUCGGAUUUUGUCGCCGCCGAUUUCUCCGACUAUUGUCGAGGGAAUGAAGUGCGCAUCGGCGAGGAGUUCCUAGCCGGAAUCAGGACAUCGAACGAGAGAAGAACUGACAGGAGAAUCCGGAGGCAAUGGAGGAAGACGACAACAGCGAAGACGAGCUGGCCAAGAUAGAGUCAAUGACAAACGCGCCUAGGAGCGUAAGCGAUGCGGACAUAAGCAAGUACCAAGCGUUCGCACAGGCAUUGCAGCAGUCGAGAGGACUCCGCUCGGAAUCCAAAUUUUCCGACAAUUCUGCUGCCGCCGCUUGAUCCGAUCCUUUUGCAAUUUCCAGCGGCGCCGACGACGUUGACAACGACAAUCUGUACAUUUGCACCACCCUUGCUCUCUAAUUUCUCAGUUUAAAAGAGCUCUUUAUUGAAAGCUCAUAGAUUUUGCACCACCCUUGCUCUCUAAUUUCUCAGUUUAAAAGAGCUCUUUAUUGAAAGCUCAUAGAUAUUUAUAUUCAUUGAUGAAUUUUUUAUAUUUUGAUGAUAUAUCUUUGUUUGGUUUUUAAAUUUUAUUUUUCAAUAUAUUGACGUAAUU